rnacentral:rRNA from 1 species
CUACGGGGGGCUCCAGUGGGGAAUAUUGGACAAUGGGGGAAACCCUGAUCCAGCAAUGCCGCGUGUGUGAAGAAGGCCUGCGGGUUGUAAAGCACUUUCGGUUGGGAGGACUGCUUCUAGCACUAAUAUUGUUGGAAGUUGACGUUACCUUCAGAAGAAGCACCGGCUACCUCCGUGCCAGCAGCCGCGGUAAUACAGAGGUGGCGAGCGCUGUUCGGAUUUACUGGGCGUAAAGGGCGCGUAGGCGGUACAGUAUGUCGGGUGUGAAAUCUCCAGGCUCAACCUGGAAAGUGCGCCCGAAACUGCUGAACUAGAGUACGGGAGGGGAGAUCGGAAUACAAGGUGUAGCGGUGAAAUGCGUUGAUAUCUUGUAGAACACCGGUGGCGAAGGCGGAUCUCUGGAACGUAACUGACGCUGAAGCGCGAAAGUCGGGGGAGCGAACAGGAUUAGAUACCCGAGUAGUC